ACAGAGGGGGCAAGCGUUGUUCGGAAUUACUGGGCGUAAAGGGCGCGUAGGCGGCACAGCAAGUCGGGAGUGAAAGCCCGGGGCUCAACCCCGGAACUGCUUUCGAAACUGCUGAGCUAGAGUGCGGAAGGGGCAACCGGAAUUCCCAGUGUAGCGGUGAAAUGCGUAGAUAUUAGGAAGAACACCAGUGGCGAAGGCGGCUCACUGGUCCGGUACUGACGCUGAGGUGCGAAAGCGUGGGGAGCAAACAGGA
rnacentral:rRNA from 1 species